UUUCAAUGUGUUCAAUGAUUUAUUUCAUGUCAAGACUCAAGUUACUGGUUAUGUUCAGUUUCACAAGUCAAAUCGAAUGAACAGUCAUAGCACACGAGAACGCCAUGGGGGGAAGUAAAAAAAUAAUGCAGACGAUCAUUGUUAAUAGUCACGUGACUAACGCUUUUGAACAAAAAAAAAUAGCACCCACUUGUAAGACAAAAGACAUUGUUUCAUUUCAAUGGGCACACGUUUUGAUUUCGUCAUCAACACUUAACAAUUUUACACAAGUGGACAUUUAGUCUAGUAGUCUCUGGGGGGGGGGGGGGGGGGGGGG